CUCAGAACGAACGCUGGCGGCGAUGGAUUAGGCAUGCAAGUCGAACGGGAGCAGCAAUGCUCCAGUGGCGCAAGGGUGAGGAACACGUGAACAACCUGCCUUCGAGUUGGGGAUAGCUCUGGAAACGGGAGAUAAUACCGAAUAACAUCACCGGAUCGCAUGAUCUGGUGAUCAAAGCAGCAAUGCGCUUGAAGAGGGGUUCGCGUCCCAUUAGCUAGUUGGUGAGGUAACGGCCCACCAAGGCGAUGAUGGGUAGCUGGUCUGAGAGGACGAUCAGCCACAUUGGGACUGAGAUACUGCCCAGACUCCUACGGGAGGCUGCAGUCGAGAAUUUUGGGCAAUGGACGAAAGUCUGACCCAGCCAAUGCCGCGUGCGGGAUGAAGGUCUUCGGAUUGUAAACCGCUGUCAAGAGGGACGAAGAUUGACGGUACCUCUGGAGGAAGCCACGGCUAACUACGUGCCAGCAGCCGC
rnacentral:rRNA from 1 species